rnacentral:rRNA from 1 species
GGAAAAAGGGGGGGAGGGCUAACACAUGCAAGUCGAGCGGAAACGAGUUAACUGAACCUUCGGGGAACGUUAACGGCGUCGAGCGGCGGACGGGUGAGUAAUGCCUGGGAAAUUGCCCUGAUGUGGGGGAUAACCAUUGGAAACGAUGGCUAAUACCGCAUAAUAGCCCGGUUCUUCGGAAUGGGUCUCAAAGAGGGGGACCUUUUAGGCCUCUCGCGUCAGGAUAUGCCCAGGUGGGAUUAGCUAGUUGGUGAGGUAAUGGCUCACCAAGGCGACGAUCCCUAGCUGGUCUGAGAGGAUGAUCAGCCACACUGGAACUGAGACACGGUCCAGACUCCUACGGGAGGCAGCAGUGGGGAAUAUUGCACAAUGGGCGCAAGCCUGAUGCAGCCAUGCCGCGUGUAUGAAGAAGGCCUUCGGGUUGUAAAGUACUUUCAGCAGUGAGGAAGGUGGGUAUGUUAAUAGCAUACACAUUUGACGUUAGCUGCAGAAGAAGCACCGGCUAACUCCGUGCCAGCAGCCGCGGUAAUACGGAGGGUGCGAGCGUUAAUCGGAAUUACUGGGCGUAAAGCGCAUGCAGGUGGUUUGUUAAGUCAGAUGUGAAAGCCCGGGGCUCAACCUCGGAAUUGCAUUUGAAACUGGCAAACUAGAGUACUGUAGAGGGGGGUAGAAUUUCAGGUGUAGCGGUGAAAUGCGUAGAGAUCUGAAGGAAUACCGGUGGCGAAGGCGGCCCCCUGGACAGAUACUGACACUCAGAUGCGAAAGCGUGGGGAGCAAACAGGAUUAGAUACCCUGGUAGUCCACGCCGUAAACGAUGUCUACUUGGAGGUUGUGGCCUUGAGCCGUGGCUUUCGGAGCUAACGCGUUAAGUAGACCGCCCUGGGGAGUACGGUCGCAAGAUUAAAACUCAAAUGAAUUGACGGGGGCCCCGCACAAGCCGGUGGAGCAUGGUGGUUUAAUUCGAUGCAACGCGAAAGAACUUUACCUAACUCUUGAAAUCUAACAGAAAGCC